rnacentral:rRNA from 1 species
GACGUAGGGCGCGAGCGUUGUCCGGAUUAUUGGGCGUAAAGAGCUCGUAGGCGGCUUGUCGCGUCGUCCGUGAAAACCUGCAGCUCAACUGCAGGCUUGCGGUCGAUACGGGCAGGCUGGAGUUCGGUAGGGGAGACUGGAAUUCCUGGUGUAGCGGUGAAAUGCGCAGAUAUCAGGAGGAACACCGAUGGCGAAGGCAGGUCUCUGGGCAUUAACUGACGCUGAGGAGCGAAAGCAUGGGGAGCGAACAGG